rnacentral:rRNA from 1 species
UUGGGAAUUUUGGACAAUGGGGGAAACCCUGAUCCAGCGAUGCCGCGUGAGUGAUGAAGGCCUUCGGGUCGUAAAGCUCUUUCAGCGGGGAAGAAGGGAAACUUGACGGUACCCGCAGAAGAAGCACCGGCUAACUCCGUGCCAGCAGCCGCGGUAAUACGGAGGGUGCAAGCGUUGUUCGGAAUCAUUGGGCGUAAAGCGCGUGUAGGCGGUCUUUUAAGUCUGGUGUGAAAGCCCGGGGCUCAACCCCGGAAGUGCACUGGAUACUGAUUGACUAGAGGACGGGAGAGGGAAGUGGAAUUCCAGGUGUAGGGGUGAAAUCCGUAGAUAUCUGGAGGAACAUCGGAAGCGAAGGCGGCUUCCUGGCCCGUAACUGACGCUGAGACGCGAAAGCGUGGGGAGCAAACAGGAUUAGAUACCCACGUAGUCCCUGAGCGGGCUGGCAAGGCGCAU